UACAAGGGGAGCUUGUACACAGGCUGAGAGGAAACGAAUUGACGUUUCGACCCGUUGACCUGAUUCGGAUAAUGCCGACGUAGGGAGAUG
rnacentral:ncRNA from 1 species